GAUGAAUGAGAAACUGGAAUCAUUCUGAAGACCUGCAACAUGUAGGCUGAGGAGAGAUCCACUGCUUCUUGUGACUAGCAGUCGAAGCAUCCGAUCGAGAUGGUGGGGCUGGCAGCGACAGGUCCAUUCAUCAAGAUCUAUAUCUUGCCAACAAUAGGGACCCGUGAUUGCCUUACACCAGGAUUUGCAGACACAGGGAAUGACCACCAGUAACUCUUGUAGCGACAGGUUGGUGAAGAUCAACCCCAAUACAUCAGGAGGUAGUUGAUCCCAGUGUCGAAACUCGCUUUGCUCUUCUUCCAUCUGAUCUUCAUUCAAGUCAUGAAGGUCAUAAUCAAAUCACAACAGGAAAUAAUAAAAAAAAUCAAAGAUUAGGUGUUACCUUGUAUCACUUUCCUUGCCACUAUGCAAAACCUAAACACAAAAUCAAAGGCAACAAAAAAAGAAAAGAGAAAAGUAGGCAUAGAAUAAGACAACUGAAGUAUCUAUAUAUAUACACGUAAAAACAUGGUGUUUAGUUGGAAAACGAAGACGAAUAGGCAUGAAAGGCCGCUACUUAAUGCGGUAAUUAGAUAUUUUGUGUGCGUUGAGUGUAUGAAAGGUUGGAGAUGAGUGAUUCCAAUGUCCAAAAUUAGUGUUUAGAAUAAAUUUUCAACAAUUUUUUCUUUCAUAUGAAGAGAUAUUUAAUAUGUUUUUCUUCCCAAAAAAACCAUACUUAAUCUUCAUUGCUUAAUUUAUUAAACCACAUUAUUAUUUUUCACAAUUCCAAUAUAAAUUAACAGUUUUUUUCUAUAUAAAUGAAAGUCUAUUUCCAAUAUCUCAGAUGAUUUAUAAAAUAAUAUGAUGACGAAUUUAAAACUAUUUUUUAUUCAAAAAUUCCGAAAAAGUUCUUUUUUAAACAAAUCUUAAUAAUUUAAAAUAAUACAUAUUAAAAAAUAUAAUUUUAAAAUUUCUCAUCGGGAAUAGUGCAAUAUUUUCAAUGAAAAUCAUUAAAAUCCAAUAAAUAUGACAUUUAAUCUUAGAUUAUUGUUAUUAUACAAAUACUUUAUUAAUAUUAAAAAAUAUUAUUUACAAAAAAUUAAAAUUCAAUGGUAAAUAAUAUUGAGAACACUUCCAAGGGUUGCUAAGUUGAAAAGCUCUAGCCUAGGCAUUGUAGCAGAUACUUUAUUAAUAGGGACCCGUGACUGCCUUACUCUAGGAUUUGCAGACCUAGGGAAUGACUGUCAGUAACUCUUGUAGCGACAGGUUGGUGAAGAUCAACCCAAUACAUCUGGAGGUAGUUGAUCCCUGUGUCGAAACUCGCUUUGCUCUUCUUCCAUCUAUCUUCAUUCAAGUCAUGAAGGUCAUAAUCAAGUCACAACAGAAAAAAAGGAAAAGUCAAAGAUUGAGGGUUACCUUAUAUCACUUUCCUUGCAACUUGGAUUAUUAUGCAAAACCUAAACACAAAAUCAAAGGCAACCAAAAAGAAAAAGGAAAGACGUAAUAUAGGAAGAGAAAGGUAGGAAUAGAAUAAAACAACGUAAGUAUCUAUUGUUGUAACCCAAUUUUGUUCGUAACCCAAACAAAGACAAAAUAAAUAAAACUCAAAUUACAAGCCCAAACCAAUACAAAAUCCCAAAGCCCAAUAGGCCACAACCUAAACUUUUUUUAAAAAAACUGAAAACCCUAGAUCCCCUAUGCGCUGCUGCUCUUGGCCACAUCAGUAGAUGCGACGCUUGAGGACUGCCUCCCCUAUCAUCAUUUCACCGAAAUGGCAAGGGUGCGACUCCCAUCGUCGUUGACCACCAUCGCGACUUGCAAAGAAGAAAGAAAAAGACAGAAGCAGAAAAAACAAAAACAAAUAUUUGUAAUCACUCGGCUAUAAAAGCCGAAUAAUCAAAUUGCAAUAGACACGAAGAAAAAGCAAAGAGAUAUAAAAAUUUCCAGUUCUAAAAAGGUCGUUGAAUCCUUGGGGAUUCGCUGAAAGGCAGCGUCGAAGGAGAGCCAGGAACCUAAAUGUCCCUUUUACUUUUUCGAAUUCUGGCUAGAUUUUAGGGAUUUCGGCCUUAGAUUCGAGUUCUUCACGAAACUGAGAUAAAAAAAGGGGUUUUUUUACAACUCUGGUCACCGAAGGUUACGCCUACCGUCGCUGAUGACCGAUGGCCAUGACGGAGUGCCAACGGCCUAGUGGGCGAAUUCAAGGGUGAUUUCAGAGAAAAAAAGAAAAGAAGGAAGCUUUUAAAAAAAAAUGUGUAGAAAUGUUUUUUAUUAUAUUUUUUACUUAAAUAGGGCACAUAAAUAAAGCCGUUUUGUCGUGGCCCUAAAUGCCCCAAAAUGAUGUCGUUUUGGGGUCAACCCGAUGACCCGACCCAGAUUCCCUUAAGAUCCACAUGUUUUUAAAGAGGAGGGUCUAAUUUAUUAAAGGAACCUUUUGUCCUUUUUUCUUCUGUAUUGUAAUCACAACAUGUGAAUAAAUAUAUAUUAGCACACAACACUAAAGAUAAAUCGAAUAAAAAUGGUGCCAAAACCUCUCAUUUAAAAAAAAAAUACAAUUUCACAAAAAAUUAAAGAAAUAAAUAAACUAGGGUCAGAUCGAAUCGAACUUAGGUAUACUACUAAUUUUCGAUUUUGGGUUUGGAGAGUGUUAAAUUUUUUUUUAAAGUCGGGGUUGGGUUGGGUCAAGGUAGGGCAUGGCAGUAGAGCAUCAUGUCGUUGUCAGGGCAAGUAAAAAAUUUCUCCACCCCGUUCCCAUCACUAGUUAAUCAAUGGGUUAUAAAGGGCUAAAAAUGAUUUUUUUAAAAAUAUUUUUAAAUUUUUUAGAGUUACAACUAAAUUGAAAAAUUUUGUAAAUGUUGAAAGUUAAAUUUAUUUAAUUUUUUAGAAUUAGAACUAAAAUGUCAAAUUUUGUAAGCAUUGAGGGCUAAAAAUUGUUGACUUUUUAUAUUUAGGAUCAAAUUUAUAGAAUGUGUAAUCAUUAGAGGGAUAAUUUUGUUAUUAGACCAAUAAGCAAAAGCCCCUGCCAACUAAAAAUGGCUAAAAUAUUUAAUUUCGAAAAAUUUAGUGAUUAAAUCAAAAAAAUUAAUAGUUGGGUGACCAAAUAGAACAAAAGCAAAGUUGAAUAGCCAUUUUCAUAGUUUACCCAUAAAAAAAAUAAUUUUCAGCAUCUUCCAUUGUAAAUAAAAAAUCAAACCGAUGGGCUAAUUUACACUUUUCAAAAUGUAUAAAGAUUAAUUUACUAAUUUUUUUUAGUAAAAAGACUGAAAUAUAAUCCGCCCCUAAGUACAAGAGUUUAUAAAACACAUUGAUCAAGUUGUAAAUUGGAAGAUAAUGCGCCACAUCUUCCCACAUUAACAUCAAUACCCAUACCAAUUAUUUAAAUUUUGCUUAACUUCAAUUAUCUAUUUGAGUUCCAAUGCUUCACAAUCCACCCGUAACUUCAGUUAUCAGAAAAUUAGUCUAUAUUAAGUAGAUAGUUAUCAGAAAAUAAAACAAAUAUUAAUUAUCAAACCAUUCAGCAUGAAGCAUUUCAAUGGAACAUGGAAGAUUAAAUGACAACAAAGAUUAAUAUCAUCUAUCAUAACAAAACACAUAAAAAGAUACAAGUUUGGUUUGAAUUGAAACCCUAACUUGGCAAAUUAUAAUAGAAAGAGCCCACCAGAGACUGCUUUGACUAUUGUUGUUCUUCUUCCUCGCGCUUCGCUGCUUCUUUAAUCUCAUCAUCAUCCUAAUUAAUGAAAGAAUAAUCAAUUAAAUUAUUUUAGAAGUAUCAAUUUUGUUUUGGGCCAGAAGUAUAGGUGGAAAUUUUAUUGACCUGCAUGUCGGAGGUCCACAGAGUGAGAUUGUCACGUAGCAGUUGCAUGAUGAGGGUGCUGUCUUUGUAUGAUUCCUCCCCUAGUGUAUCCAACUCAGCUAUUGCUUCAUCAAACGCCUGUUUUCCAAUCACAAUCCAACACGUCAGCUACUCGCCAUUUCUGAACUUAAAAAAAAAAAACGAGUAGGUAACCGACCUGUUUAGCCAGUUCGCAAGCGCGAUCAGGAGAAUUGAGAAUCUCGUAGUAGAAAACAGAGAAAUUGAGGGCUAGACCGAGUCGGAUCGGGUGAGUUGGAGCCAACUCGGCGUUGGCAAUCUCCUAAGAAACAGAGAAAGAAGGUUCAGCACGGACAUUUUCAUUAAAAAAAGUAGUUCUCUAAGAGAAUGGAGUCGGAAAGUGGAAACCUGAGCGGAUUUGUAGGCAGUGAGAGUACUCUCAGCAGCUUCCUUACGUUCGGCGCCAGUUUUGAAUUCAGCCAAAUACCUGUGAUAAUCUCCCUUCAUCUUAAGAUAAAAGACCUUUGAAUCUCCACCGGAAGGCGAAGGGAUGAGUGUGGUGUCAAGGAGUUUCAAGAUCCCGCCACAGAUCGAGGAGAGCUCGGACUCGAUCUUAGCCCGGUAAUCACGUAUAACGGCCACGUGAUCCUCGUUACCACGGCUCUCCUCUUUCUGCUCAAUGGAGGAGAUGAUGCGCCACGAAGCACGGCGUGCGCCGAUCACGUUCUUGUAAGCAACGGAGAGGAGGUUGCGUUCUUCGAUGGUGAGUCCCUCGUUGUCGGCGGCGGAAGCCGAGACUUUCUCCAUGAAGUCGACCAUUUCCUCGUAGCGUUCGGCUUGCUCAGCGAGUUUCGCCAUGUAGACAUUUUCUUCGCGAGUGGCGGCGGCCAUUGUGGAUUUUCGAAUCAAGUUAGAGGGAAGAGAAGGUUUUUUGAAAAUUUUAGAGGGUGAGAAAUGUGGCAGUGAUGGGGAAGAAGAAAUGUGGAGUGAUAGAUAUAGGAGGCAAAAAGGACAGGGAUUAAAAAGGUCAAGUUGCCAAACACGGACUUUUCAGUUUUCUGAGCUGUUUUGAGCAUAUCAACAGCUGCUCUCUGUUACUUUCUUCUUCUUUUUUGUGUUCAAAUAUCUCAUAAGUCCCUCUACUAUUUAUAAAUUUAAAUUUUAGUUAUUAUACUUUUAUUUCUAGGAUUUAAUCCCUCUACUUUUCAGAUUUAAAAUUCAGGUCCAACAGUUAAUAAUGGGAAAAUUAUUUUGUUAAAUUCAGUAUCAUUACAUCACCAUUUUUUCAUUACAUUGUUAACACGGGAAUUUUUUUUAUUCUUUCAAAACAUCACACAACCAAAUUUAACAAUAAAAAUUUAAAAGUAUUCGCAAUUAUCAAUUAGAAUUAAAUUUUUAAAAAUAAAAAUAUAGGGACUAAAUUUUGAAUUUAUAAAGAGUAUAAAGACGUAAAGUAUAUUUUUUUUGUGUUUUUGCUUUUUGACGGUGGAAAGAUGAGUUUGAAUUUUGAAACUAAUGGGUUUGUUCUAUGCAAUAAUUAUUACAACUGCACGGGAUAGAUUUACUGUUUGUUUAGUAAGUUCUUUUUAGAAGAAAAAAUAUGUUAAAUAAAUUAUUUUUUGUUUUUCAAAAGUAUUUUUGAAAUCAGAAAUUAGAGAUUUAACCGAUGGCAUGAUUGAAAAUGUCUAAAAUUGUUUCAAUUUGAUAAAAAAAAAACAGGAAAAUUUGGUUAAAAUUUGAAAAAAAAAAGAUUUUUUUAAUUCUAAUAAAAAGAUAAUGGCAGAAAUUAGCUUAUACUUUACCAAACCUUCCAAAUUUGUGGAAUGUGAUAGCUGAAAAAAGUUUAGGAUUUGAAUGGUAGGGAUGUAGAGGAGGUACACUGUCAUGAGCAUGUAGUGGUCCAAUGGUAGAUGGUGACGGAUGAUGUUUUUUUUUUUUUGAAACUUCGCUUAAAUUUCUGUGAAUUUCAUUUUUUUGUUGUUUUUGAGGAAAUUUAAAUUAAGAAAGAGAAAUGGUAAGAUAACUUGUUCGCUUGGCAGUUUAAUAGUAACAUAUAAAUGGUCAACUUUAGGUGUCUUCGUAAAUAUUAAUUUUAAUAAUAAAAUUUUUAUUUAUUUUUUUUACUUAACAGAUAUCUGAACUUAAAAUCCUUCACACUUUAAUAUUUGUUAACAUGCGAUAACGUGACAUUGACAAUCAAUAGUAUAACAUCCUAAAAUUAUGCUACAUGACAAACAUUAAUUAAUAAAAUAUAAAACUCUAAAAAAUAUUUAAACAAGUGGGUGUCUAAAAUAAUUAAAUGGAUGUAUUUUUAGUAAUUUUAUCCAUUUUACUUUUUUUUUUAAAAAAUUUGAUCUCACGGAAGUAAAUGCUUUUUACAUUUUAUAGUUGAUUUUUUGAGUUUUUUUUUUUUUAAAUUUACGAAGUGCUCUCAUCAAUUUAGCCACCAAUUUGAUUUUGACAAAUAUGGUUUUUAGGAACUUUUUCCUUUAGCUCGCCAGAUUUAGGGUUUUUUACAAAAAUAAUAUAAAAAAAUUAAAAAUUACUAAAAUGUUAUAAUUUUUUUUAUUUACCAAAAUAUAUAUAAAUUUUUUUAUUUACCAAAAUAUAUAAAAAAACAAAAAAACCAAAAAAAAAACCUGGACUGAUUUGACAACUCCCUGGGACAAGGGAACACUGUUGGCGGCACCAAACAAGGGAACCCUGUUGGCGGCACCAAACAAGGGAACCCUGUUGGCGGCACCAAACAAGGGUUCCCUGUUGGCGGCACCACUCGUGUUAUAAACACGAACUCUGUCCAGCUGAAACAAGAAAAAUCAGAAGAAAAAGAAAAGAAAGAAGAGGUGCUGCGGAAAAAAAGAGAGAAAGAGAAGAGAGAAAGAAGUUAUUUUUUAAAAAAUAAUUGAUUAUUUUGUUGUUAUUGUUUUGUAUAAUUUGUAUUUUUUUUAGUUUAGUUAUUAAAAUUAAAAUCAAUAAAACUCAAAUUAAUAGUUUUAGUUAGGGUUUUAUUAUCAAAAUAUUACAAAAAAAUACAAACGUGUUAAUGUACAAACAUGUGCCAUGGGAUCUGCAUCAUGCUGGGCCAUGGUUAUUGUUCAAUUUCUUUUUACCAAUAUAAUUAUUUUAAAGUUGCAUNNNNNNNNNNNNNNNNNNNNNNNNNNNNNNNNNNNNNNNNNNNNNNNNNNNNNNNNNNNNNNNNNNNNNNNNNNNNNNNNNNNNNNNNNNNNNNNNNNNNGCCUCCAUUUUCGAUAUAAUAUUAAUAAUUCCAAACGCCAUAUACUAUUUUAUAACUUAAUUUGGAUACAAUGUAAUCAUAACCAUUUGUAUAGUUUUUAUCAUUACACAUAAAAAUUUUACAAUAUUAGGUCAAUUACGACCCGAUCCGGACGACUGUCCAACAUGAAAGUUUCGGUUAGGGCAUUUAUUCCGACUAUGACCACUUAACCUGCAUAAUCCACAACGCUUUCCGUCAGACUUCUCCCUGAUGUCUAUUUCAUUACGGAUUCUGCUUGACUGCGGACGACCUCUCAGAUUCCUCCGCAGCCCUCUGUCUGGGAGAAGCUCGAAAGUAGUCAAAGGCACCUCCCACGUUGAUAGGUCAGGCAAGACGGGGAACUCAUUUUCCCAGACACGCAAUGUGCGCUCCAGCGUGUACACAUCAUCGACAUAUUGUUCAACAUUGACGUUAACUUUAGCACACGCUGCCACGGCAUGCGCACAGGGAUAAUGAAGUGUUUCGAACCUUCUGCACUCGCACCGUCGGUUUCGGAGAUCAACUUCGUAAGACCUAGUUGGUAUACCAGGUCGACGACUGAUGCUCUCAGUAACUUGAAAUGUUUCCAGUCGUCGUGAAUAUAUUUCUACAUUCAUUGACCUUGCCAACCGACGGUUUACGACCAUUGUAUCCCUGACAUGUUCGACAAACACGUAUCCCGCCUCAAUCUGGUCGACUUGCUGCUGAGCCAUUCUUGGUAUCAAAGUAGCUAGCCUGUAGAAAGUAGCAGAAAAUACAGAUGCAAUCGGAAGAUGACGUGUUUUUAACAAAACAGCGUUGAUCCCCUCGACUAAGUUUGUGGUCAUUUGGCCAUAACGAAAGCCCUCGUCAAAACUUUGAGCCCAUUGCCACGGCUCCAUUGUGCCCAACCAUUGUCGGAAAGAUGUGUUUGUCUGCCCCUCCAUGUCACUCUCAAGUCGAAUCAUUUUUUGCCGGAACAUAUGUGGCUCUAACUCGUACGCUGCAUACGUAUUAAGAAAAAUAAGUUCUAGUAACUCCAUAACAUGAAACAUUACAACUUAUAUUGAAAAUAUAAGGUUAUCAUUUACGCAUUGCCACGACUUGUCUCUUCCAGUCUGCAUUCUUGUAAUCUUUGUGGAAGUUAGCCGCAAUGUGACGGAUGCAGUAAACGGAUCUCCACGGCACACCGGAACGCCUGAUUGCUGCAAUUAAACCCUUCCCUCUAUCGGAGAUGAUGCAAAUGUUAUCGUUGUUAAUAACAUACCUCCGUAGGUUUGUGAGGAAGAAUUCCCAAGACUCCAUGUUCUCUUUAUCUACGAUAGCAAAUGCUAUCGGGAGCACGUUUCUGUUGCCGUCUUGAGCAACUGCAAGAAGUAGGAUCUGUGUAUAUUUUCCAUACAGCCAAGUCCCAUCUACCUGCACAAGUGGCUUGCAGUGGGGAAAUGCCCGCACACAUGGAUUGAACGUCCAGAACAUCCGAUGGAAAAUCCUUUUUGCCGGCUGUAACUGGUCAUCCGGGCCGUAAUAUGGUCUUGUCUGCAACUCAAUCACAGUCCCCGGUACAUACUCCCGCAUAGCAGCUAUCCAACCUUGAAGCUCGUUAUACGAUGAAUCGUAAUCUCCAUACAGUUGCUUCAUCACCAUCUGUUUAGCAAUCCAUGCCUUUCGAUAUGAGACUCGAUACUGGAAUCGUGCUUGCAUUUCGAUAAUCAGUACCGAAACUUUAAUGGUCGGCAUGUCCUUCACCAUUGGCAUAAUACACGUACAGAUUGUUUUUGAAUCAAGUUUUCUAUGAUCUUCUGUCAUACGUGUUGAUGUGCAUGUAUGAGGACCAACAAAUUUUCGUAUCUCCCACAUCUGAGAACUUUUAAUGAAUGCAGCUCGCACCCGCCAAUUGCAGUCUUCCGCUGCCUUUCAACACUCCCCAACAUAUAUUGUCGGAGUAGACACUGUGACUUUAUAAUCAACUGAUAUAUUCAUGAUGUAUCGUUUGAUGGCAUAUACGCACUCUUCUUUACAGCUGAAUCUCUGGCCUAUGAAUAACUCCUCAUCAUCAGAUGUUACGGCCAGCCCGUGACGAUGAACUAUUUCAGGGUACUCUGGGAACUCAACUACAUACGCUGCGUCGGGGUCUAUGAGCGACAUGUGUGGCCCAGGAUUAUUGUGUAUCAAAAUAUGCCGCAUCUGCUCCCCGAUCAAAGAAGCGUUAAUGUCUUCAUCGUCAAUAUCAUCAAGUACAUCGUCCACAUCGGGAUCACCGUCACUAUCGACCUCUUCAUCCCAACGAUCACCACCACCUUCUUCUUCGCAACCACAUUCUUCUUCACCACCAACCAUAUCAACAUCGGAUGUAAUAUUCACGUCGAUACCGAUCCCACCUAUAGUUGAUUCACUAUCAACGUAUGAUAUUGGAGCCACCAUCCGCGGUUCUUCAGCCCCGUCUUCUUCAUCAGAUGCAUUUUGCUCCAUACCGACUAACUCAGUAAAUAAGUGAAUCGGUGCAUUCUUGUCACUCCCGUUCCCACAGUAGAGAUCGACCAUUGUCUCAACGUCUUCGUCAUCUGCAAGUUCCAUUUCGACGAAUUUGACUGGAUUUGUCGAAACUGGAAACUUGUAGAAAAUUUUUACUAUCCUUCUCCCACAACGUCUUAAAAUUUUUGCAUUAAUCCUUGNNNNNNNNNNNNNNNNNNNNNNNNNNNNNNNNNNNNNNNNNNNNNNNNNNNNNNNNNNNNNNNNNNNNNNNNNNNNNNNNNNNNNNNNNNNNNNNNNNNNNNNNNNNNNNNNNNNNNNNNNNNNNNNNNNNNNNNNNNNNNNNNNNNNNNNNNNNNNNNNNNNNNNNNNNNNNNNNNNNNNNNNNNNNNNNNNNNNNNNNNNNNNNNNNNNNNNNNNNNNNNNNNNNNNNNNNNNNNNNNNNNNNNNNNNNNNNNNNNNNNNNNNNNNNNNNNNNNNNNNNNNNNNNNNNNNNNNNNNNNNNNNNNNNNNNNNNNNNNNNNNNNNNNNNNNNNNNNNNNNNNNNNNNNNNNNNNNNNNNNNNNNNNNNNNNNNNNNNNNNNNNNNNNNNNNNNNNNNNNNNNNNNNNNNNNNNNNNNNNNNNNNNNNNNNNNNNNNNNNNNNNNNNNNNNNNNNNNNNNNNNAUAAAUUUUUAUUUUUUUGUAAUAUUUUGAUAAUAAAACCCUAACUAAAACUAUUAAUUUGAGUUUUAUUGAUUUUAAUCUUAAUAACUAAACUAAAACAAAAAAAAAUACAAAUUAUACAAAAUAAUAACAAUAACAUAAUCAAUUAUUUUUAAAAAAAUACCUGAUUUUUCUCUUCUUUUUCUCUCUUUUUCUCUUUUUUUCCGAACCACCUCUUCUUUCUUUUCUUUUUCUUCUGAUUUUUCUUGUUUCGGCUGGACAGAGUUCGUGUUUAUAACACGAGUGGUGCCGCCAACAGGGAACCCUUGUUUGGUGCCGCCAACAGUGUUCCCUUGUCCCAGGGAGUUGCCAAAUCAGUCCAUUUUUUUUCUGUUUUUUUUGGUUUUUUUGUUUUUUUUGAUAUAUUUUGGUAAAUAAAAAAAUUAUAUAUAUUUUGGUAAAUAAAAAAAUUAUAACAUUUUGGUAUUUUUUAAAUUUUUUUAUAUUAUUUUUGUAAAAAACCCCAGACUUAUUUUGGAUGAGCGUCCAUGGCAUCAAUUACUUUAAGUUAGAAUUAUUUCUAUUGCCACAACGGUAACUAUAUGCAUAAAGACUCAUGCAUCACAGUUUUAUUUCUUUAACAGUUGAGAGUGUCGUAUGAUUGUAAUGAUCGUGAAAACAUCUUGGAGUCUCUUUUGUCACCUACUUAUUAACAAAUAAGCUGACUUGGUUUUGAAUUGGGUCAAAUUUACCAAUUUAAAAUUUCGAAUUCAGUCAUCAAAGAUUAAAAGCAUGAUUCAAAGCAUUACAAGUUAUUUGUUUGAAUUAUUUCAUAUUUGAGUGAUUUUUAAGUACAUAUAAUUCAAAUAAAGCAAAUUCAAAUAGUUAGGCAGUAUUUAGAAAAGUCAUGCAAUAAUUAAAUUUGGGUGUAAUUGUUUGUAAUUACACAAAUGUAGUAUGUGAAGGUAAUCAUUGUCAUUGCAAGGUCCCAUCGAACUAGAUGCAGUGGAGCAUCCAAUUACAUUUUUCAAUUCUUAAGAGUGAGAAUUAGAAUAAUUACACAGGUAAGUACACCCAAAUUUAAUUUUAAAAAAAUAUUAUUAUACAAGUUAUAAAAAUUACAUUAUACUCAUGGACAUGUAUGAGUGUUUGGGAUAAUUAUGGUAAAAAAAAUUCUUAUAUUAUAUAUCCUAGAAAAUCAAUUAUAACAAUAAUUUGUGUGUUUUACAAAGUUAUAACAAAAAAAUUAUUAGAUCUUGAUAAAUUUUUAAAGUUAUAGCAAAAAAGUUUAUUGUAAAAAAUAAUUUACACAACCAAGAAAUAUGAAUAUAACUUAUUUAUGUAUCCAUGCUAUUUAUUCAUAAAAAUAAUAUGCUUAUAAUUUUUUUUAUCUUAACUUAUUUAUAAAAAAAUAGUUUUCUAAAUUUACCGUAAAAAAUAUUAUUUAUAAGAAAUGUUAUGAAAGUUUUGGACAAUUUAUAAUUAUUUUGUAAAGAUUAUAUAUUAUUUUUACUUAAUAUAUGUAAUGUUAAAAGGGACAUGACCUAGUAUAAGUUUGUCACCAAAUUAAGUUUAUGUAAGUUAUCAUAAUUAAAGCUGCAUAUUAUUUAAACUAUGAAUUCAAAUAUUAUAAGGUCAAUACGAAUUAUGCAAAUAGAAAAUAUUUUCUUGCACCAUAUUGUAAGGUAUAAUAUCAUUUGAGAAAAUGGGGUCAGGCACAAUUACCAUAAGCAACUCAGGAAAACUCUUUAGUUUGAGACAUUCAAAAUUUUAAAAUGUGGUUGAGAAGAUAUUUAUUGUUUUAAAAAAAAUAGUUUUCGUAUUAACAAAAUCACCUUAGUAUAGCAUAAAAAAAUGUUGAAUCGUACUAGCAUAUCACAUGUUUCACAAUUUUAUCAUAUAUGGAAUUAAAAUAAUUCAUACUUUGAAGAGUACAUGGAAGAAAAAGAUAUUAAUAAUCUUAACGAUACAGAUGCAGAUGCAAAUUCAGAUGAUGAGGAGUUCGACCAAGGACCAACAAAUGAUGAUAAGGAGCAUAUGUUAAAUAUUAAAAAGAGAAUAAUCCAACAAAUACGCAUUAAAACAAUUAGAUAAAAUUGCAAAUGAUUUUUAUUUUUCUUGUUAUUUUUAUCCGUAAUUGUAUUAUCAAUUACCUUUUUAAACCAAUAUAAUUGCAUAUGAUGAUUUAAUUUUAAUUUUUAUUACUUAUUUAAAAAUUAUUUUUAUCAUACUAAUAAUUUUUAUAAUUUAAAAUAUAAAAUUUGUAACUCUAUAAUUACAAUUCUCAAAGGUCAAAACUCAGCCUACUAUUCUUGUCCACGUGUAUGGUAAUGAUAGAAAGGAAAGAAUCAUUCCAAUGAUCCAGUGGAACACAUUAAAAUUGCUCUACCGUGGGGUUUAAAUUAGAAAGAGGGAACUCGUUUUUGAAAACCCUAAGCAGAAGGAAGAAAUCGAAGUGAUUUGAGCCACCGCCUCUGCUCCGCCGCCAGCCAUGAAGGUUCUAUCUCUCAACCAUGAAUGUAUCUUGCUUACACAAAAAAAAAAAAAAGCUUUUCGAAGUUUAAAAUUUAACCGUGCACCCUUUCUUUUUAUUGUUGUUUUUUCCUCUUUGCAGUUCAAUAUCGCCAACCCCACUACGGGAUGCCAGAAGAAGCUAGAAAUCGACGAUGACCAGAAACUGUAAGUUUCCUUGCUUAUCUCUUUAUAUAUUAUAUGCUUAUCUUUCAAUUUUCUUUAGCUUUAUUUUGGAACUUGAAGUUGGCAUGCUUUAAGUGAAGGUAGGUGUUGAACCAAUAAAGAUAAUGAAGACCUUUUGUAACAUGUUGAUAUGGUUUAUAUUGCUUAAAUUUUUUUUUGCAUAGGCAUUUCUUUCCUGGAUAAUUGAAAUGUUUUAUUCCAAAAUAAUCAGCAUUUGUAGCCAAUUUUUUAGCAUACUAGUGUCUUAGGUUAUUUCCGUAACUGACACAAAGAACCUUUUUUUUUUUUUGUUUUUCCCAUUUGAUUUAAUUACUAUAUGAGGAGAACUAGCUUGAACAGCAGAACCAGUUCGCCUAAAAAGCUCAUUUGGGUUUCUUUAUGCUUUCUAAAGUUCAAUAGGUGGCGUAGCUAACAGUUGUAACUCGUGAUUUGUUAAUUACAAUGUUUGAGUUUGAGCUGGGCAAUGACAUUUUGAAUUUAAUUUAUUAUGAACUUGUAAUUUGUGUUUAAUGUGGUGUAAUGGAUAAUGAUAUGGUGUGACUAAGACCAUUGCAGGUUAUGGGGGAAGCAGUUGGUCUUGUUUAAAGUACUUAUGCCUCGUUUGGUUACUAGUGUAAUUUGUGUUUAAAGUACUUAUAACUCAUUGGGUUACUUAUGCCUCGUUUGUUCACCAUGGAUUUCUUGUUUUUAUACUGUACAGCCGAGCAUUUUUUGACAAGAGAAUCUCACAAGAGGUCAUCGGAGAUGCUCUUGGAGAGGUAUGCUUUUUCCAAAAUUGGAUCCAAUGGAGUCUUAUUGUUUGUUCUUAGUUUCAUAAAAGACGUUUUACUUUUUUGGCAGGAAUUCAAGGGCUAUGUUUUCAAAAUCAAGGGAGGAUGUGACAAGCAGGGAUUCCCAAUGAAGCAAGGAGUGUUAACUCCUGGUCGUGUCCGUCUCUUGCUCCACAGAGGUUGGCCCUUACUGUUUAAUGCCAUCUGAAGGAUUGAACUUGUCUGAUGGUAGCAAUUUUACUGGCAUUUAUGUUAUGGUCUGUAAGUCAUAGUUUUUUCUCUCCAGGGACCCCUUGCUUCCGAGGAUAUGGUAGGCGCAACGGAGAGAGGAGGAGGAAGUCUGUUCGAGGAUGCAUUGUGAGUCAAGAUCUCUCUGUUCUCAACUUGGUAAUUGUGAAAAAGGGGGACAAUGAUCUUCCUGGGCUCACUGAUACUGAGAAACCAAGAAUGAGGGGUCCCAAGAGGGCAUCAAAGAUUCGUAAGCUCUUCAAUCUCUCAAAGGAGGAUGAUGUCCGGAAGUACGUCAACACUUACCGUCGAUCUUUCACGACAAAAUCAGGUAGGGUUUCAAGUAUUAUCAUCUCUUGUACGAUUAAUGUUGACAGUCGAUCUUUAAAGGGGUCGAGCUAUUUCAAGCUAAAAAUGCAUGCGUUGUUUACAUUGCCUAUUGCAGUGGUGUUUAUGCCUAUUAGAUACUUGAUUUUAUAUUUUUUCUCCCUGCAAUACAGGAAAGAAAGCCAGUAAAGCUCCCAAGAUCCAGAGAUUGGUAACUCCAUUAACUUUGCAGAGGAAGAGAGCAAGAAUAGCUGAGAAAAAGAAGAGAGUUGCAAAGGCAAAGGCCGAUGCUGCGGAGUACCAGAAGCUACUUGCCCAGAGAUUGAAGGAACAGAGAGAACGACGUAGCGAAAGUUUAGCCAAGAAAAGAUCCAGACUUUCUGCUGCAUCUAAACCGUCAAUUGCAGCUUAAUUUCAGCUCACUUAAAACCCAGUCAGAUUAUGAUAUCGUGUUGAAAACAAAUCAAAAGGAACAUGUUUGAUUUUAGAUUUUUCAUGUUUGAAAGGUUUAACAACUCUGUUUGGAAGUGUGCUCUGACAUUGCUGAAUUUACACUAUUCUUUGAUUCAAAAUUUGACAAUUCACUCAAGGCAGCAAUUUACACUAAUAUUUGAUUCAAAUAUUAAGAGUUCAAAUUCUUAUUAACAAGCACAUUGCACUCUUGAAGGAAAGAUUCAAGUUUGAACUUUGGAGAUACAUUGAUGGAAGGGGCAGCCACGGAAAUGAAGAAUAUUAAAAAAAUAAAAUUUCUUAUUAUUUGUUAAAAUAUCAAAAAAUAAAAUUUCUUAUUAUUUGUCAAAAUAAUUGCAUUUAACAUUUAUACUAGGACGUAUAUAUAUAUAAUUGAAAUUCAAGGAAAAUAUGAGAAUGGAACAACAAAUUUCAUAGUGGUAAAUAAAAUAGAAACAAGUUCCACAUGAUCAUCCCAACUAUUCUUCUCUAGAAUAGGUCUCCAAAGCUUUAACUUGGGGCACUUUUGUUUAAGGAACUGAUGAUCAAGUUCCACACCAAUGCAACCUACUAUAUCCAAAAACUCAAGCUGGGGACACCCAGAAAAAAUGCUUAGAACAAUUUCAGUGCUGAUAGGAUAUAAACCCAACUCGAGUAGGUGCUUUAGCCUAGGGAUUGUUGUAGCUAUUGCAUUCGCCUGAUCGUCGGUUGGGAAAGUGAUAGCCGAAUCCAGUAGGUGCUAGUUGCGGCAGAGUGACAAGAAAUUUACAGUCCUUUCCAAUGGCCUUUAUAGUAUAGGCAUCUAUUUUGCGACAGUAACUCAAUUCUAGGAAAGUGAUUGUGGAGAGCCUUUGGGCGCUUUGGUCUACUAUCCAACCACUCAUUUCACUUCGUGGCAGUCGUAAAACCUGAAGGGAGCCAGCACUUGCAGAUGCAAGGGCAAGAAAGAAAAGCAUCAUUUCACAUCAAGGUUAAUAAUUUAAUAGCGUAAAAGGGUGUCAUUAAUGAGCUGAGACUCACUACAUUACUGAGAAAAGCAAUUGUGAAAAAGGGUAAGAGCAAGUAAAACUUCUUUGUGAUGAAUGAGAAAAUGGUAUCAUUCUGAAGACCUGAAACAUGUAGGCUGCGGAGAGAUCCAUUGCUUCUUGUGAUUAGCAUUGGAAGCAUCCGAUCAAGAUGGUGGGACCGGCAGCGACGGCUCCAUUUAGCAAGGUCUAUAUCUUGACGACAAUAGGGACCUGUGAUUGCCUUUCUCCAGGAUUUGCGGACGCAGGGAAUGAUUGUUGGUAACUCUUGUAAGGACAGGUAACUGAAGAUCAGCCCCAAUACAUCAGGAAGUAGUUCAUCCCAGUGUAGAAACUCGCUUGCUCUUCUUCCAUCUUAUCUUCAUUCAAGCCAUGAAGGUCAUAAUCAAAUCACAACAAGCAGCCUCAGUCUAGAUAUUCACACCAUGCAUUUAUGUCUUCUUCAACUAAACGUUUACUGUGAGCUUAAGUCAUCAGAUGUUUUGUGUGCGUUCAAGGAACAGAGUAUUUGAAAGAUCAUCGUGGAUCAUUGCUGAAGGUGAAAAUGGAAAAGCUGAUACGUUGGACAUGAGUCAUUUGGUAUUUUGUGUUUAGAAGGAAAGGUUGAGCUUGGGUUUUUUUUAGAAGUUUGACAAAUAUAAUAUACCACAAUUACAAGUACAGGUACAAAUUAUAAAUUCAAAACAAUGGUAUCUAAAAUAAACCAAUACAAUUUAGAGGACAAUGAAUCGAACAAUGUCAGAUAAAACCUACCCAUAGCAUAUGCAUAUGGUGAGAGAGAGACUUACACAUUAUAAAUACAGAUGGUGAGACUUAAAUUUGGGCCUUCAACCUCAACCUUUGUCAAUAAUAUCAAAACCUCGUUGAUAGUUAAAUUUAUAUAUAUAUAUAUAUUUAUCUUAUAAAGCCUACAAAAUUAUCAUGGGUUUAGGGUUAUAAAAAUAUUUAUAAAACAAUGAUGUAAAAAACAGUUAAGGUGUUGGUUGAAAUGGUGAAAUGGAAGGUAAGGUAUUACAGAGGCUCUUUGUAUUAGGAGUUAGAUUGCAUUUUGUCAUUUUUACUAAAAACGGGUAAAUUAGUUUUUGUACAUUAGAUCAAAGAGUAAUAUGGUCAUUCUAUUAAAAAUUUCAUUCAUUUCUAUUGUUAAAAACUAGUCCUUAUACAUCAAAAUGAGGUAAACGUGACACUAUCUGAUUAUUUUAUCAGCUAUGCUAGUUUUUGACAGUAGAAAUGAAUGAAAUUUUCAAUGAAAAAACUAGUUUACUCUUUGAUCUAACAUAUAUAGAUUAAUUUGCCUACUUAUUGAGUAAUGGGUGCAAAAUGCAACUAGACUCCUAAUACAUGCGUUUCUGUGGUACUUUUACUUAAAAUGGAGAUAUUGAUAAUUAUAAUGUUUUAGAGGUUCAAAUCUCAUUAUGUACAUGUAUUUUUCUAGAUUCUAUAUAAAAAUACAAAACACCCUUAUAAUAAUAUUUGUUAAUUUAUUAAUAUAUUUUUCUUUGUAAUUUCUCAACUAAAUUGGAGGAACACGAUUGAUAGGUGACACUAACUUUAUCAACCACUUAAAGAAUAAUAUAUAUAUUGUUGAUACAAAGUACAACACAGAAGAACAAUGAGAAGAUUAUGGUGGCCUAAAUGAGGAGAUGAGGAGAAGGCUAUGAGGAUAGAGGAAGUUUUGUUGUAAAGAGUACUCAAGGACUGAUUAAGGGCUAAAAAGAUUUUCCUCAUUGCUUGGGAGGAUAUUUAUAGGAGAUGAUCUUUUGUCUGCUAGUGUGACGUGGCGAGUUGUUACAAUGAAGAUGGUUGUCACGGAGUAUGUGAAGUUAUUCUUUUAAAAACUAUGAGUUGGUUAUGCCCAAGUGAAUCCCAUUGGUUGUUGAAAGAAGUGUUCACACUUGAGAAUGUUUACAAUGAAAAGCAAGUUGCUAAGGUCAAAAGGAGGAAGUGUCACCCAUAUUAGCUGAUGGUACGUAGUAGGUGAUCAGACCAAGAGGUCACUCAUUUGGAGGUAGUCGGAUGAUCGAGGAGUAUGAGUCACUCUUUCUUGUCUAGGUUGAGUCUUCAAGGUAUGCCACGUGUCUAGCCUGAGUGGUAGGAUAAUUUUUUUAUCCACAAUCAUACCAAAUUAACAUAAUUCAAUUCUUGAUUCAAACACAUAUUUUGGCAACAAUUCAAAAUAUUUAAAUUUAAAUUUCUAAAAGUAUUAAAAAGUGAUUUUUGUUGUGAAGGUGUAAGUUUAUUAGAUGUGACAUGAUCAAUAGACCAUAAUAUUUAAACAUUGGGAUGAGAGAAUGUUGCACAAAAAAAGUUCAUACGUAUCUCUUAAAUGCAUUGUGUCAAACUACUUAAUCAUGAUUUAAGAAUAAAGAUCCAUUCCCAUACUUAUCACGCUAUUUAAUCACGAAUAAAGCCACAGAUUCAAUCCAUGCAAAGACGCAGUUCCUAUAUAGGUUAAAGGUUGCUCACAAUAUGAAGAUGUUGAAAGCUGAUUUACAUAUCUAAAUACUCAUCAUCAUCGGAUUCAUCAGAUUCGAAGAGAAUGACCAGAUACAGCAGCAGAAUCUCUAACUUUGGGUACUUUUCUUUAAGGAACUUAUGAUCAAGUUUCUCACUCAAGAAUUCAUCUAUUUUCAAAUGCACAAGCUGUGGACAGCAAGAGAGGAGGUUGAGAACACAUUCAGUGCUGAUACAACGAUAAGCAAACUCAAGUUGCUUUAGCCUUGGCAUUGUAGAUGCUAUUGCAUUCGCCUCAUCCUCCGCUUCGACCUUGUCUGCUGAAUCCGGAGAGUACAUGUUGCGACACAGAACUACAAGAUGUUUACAGUGCUUUCCGAUGGCCUCUAUAGCUUGGGCACCGAUUUUGUGACAGUAACUCAAAUCCAAGAAAGUGACUAUGGAAAGCCUUCGGGCAGUUUGUUUGACUAUCGAAUCACUUAUUAAACUUCUUGGCAGUCGUAAAACCUGAAGGGAGCCAACACUUGCAAACGCAGAAAACAAAAAAACAUCAUUUUAUAUCAAGUUAAUAAUUUAAUGACGUAAAAGAGUCUGAUUAAUGAGUUGAAACUCACUACAUUACUCAGAAAAGCAAUUGUGAAAAAUGGUGAUACCAAGUGGAACUUACUUCUCUGUGAUGAAUGAGAAAAUGGAAUCAUUCUGAAGACCUGAAACAUGUAGGCUGCGGAGAGAUCCAUUGCUUCUUGUGAUUAGCAUUCGAAGCAUUCGAUCGAGUUGGUGGGACAGGCGGCGACAGCUCCGUUCAUCAAGGUCUAUAUACUGCCAACAAUGGGAACCCGUGACUACCUUACUCCAGGAUUUGCAGACGCAGGGAAUGACUGUCAGUAACUCUUGUAUGGGCAAGUUGGUGAAGAUCAGCCCCAAUACAUCAGGAAGUAGUUCAUCCCAGUGUCGAAACUCGCUUUGCUCUUCUUCCAUCUGAUCUUCAUUCAAGUCAUGAAGGUCAUAAUCAAAUCACAACAGGAAAGAAAAAUAAAUCAAAGAUUAGGGUUUACCUUAUAUCACUUUCCUUGCAACUUGGAUUAUUAUGCAAAACCUAAACACAAAAUCAAAGGCAACCAAAAAAGAAAAAAGAAAGAGGUAAUAUUGAAAGAGAAAAGUAGGAAUGGAAUAAGACAACGUAAGUAUUUAUAUAUAUACAUGUAAAAGCAUGGUGUUUAGCUGGAAAAAGAAGACGACGAAAAGGCAUGGAAGGCAGGGGUAGCUUUAAUUGCGAAAACAGGGCUACUUAAUGCCGUAAUUAGAUAUUUUGUGUGAGUUAUAAGGAACAGAGUAUAUGAAAGAUCAUGGAAAGGUUGAAAGGUUGGACAUGUGUCAUUCAAUUGUCCACAAUUAGGCUUUGAGUAUCUAAAAUCUGAAGUUUACUCUUUAUUGUUUAGAAUAAAUUUUGAACUUUUUCUUUCUUUCAUAUGAAGAGAUAUUUAAUAUGUUCCCCCCCUUAAAAGCUAAAUUUAUUUUGUUACAAAGGAUAUUUAUAGGAGAGUUCAUUUUAUUUGGUAGUAUGAUGUGGUGCAUAGUAGGACUCGUUCUGCUUUUUUAGACAAUACAAAAUUACUAUGUCCAAAUAAAUCUCAUUAGUUGCUAAAAGAAGUGUUCACUCUUGGAAAUGUUCACAGCAAAGUCUGGUUACUAAGUGAUAGUGAACGGUUCGGUGAGUCCAAGGAGAAAGUGUCUCUCAUAUUAGUUGGUGGUCUUUAGUAGAUGAUCAGAUUUAGAGGUCGCUCAUUUGGGGGCAGCAAAUGAGUCACUUUUUGUUGUCCAUGUGGAGUCUCCAUGGUAUGCCACAUGUCUAGCGUCAGUAAUAGGUAUAUAUAUUUUGAAGACUUUUUCUUUAAUGUCACUGAAAUUUAGCUAAAUGUUUAAAGUGAUACUUAUAUUAAAAAAAAAAAAAGUGAUAAAUCAACAUUUAGAGUGUGUUUGAUAAAUUAAAAAAUUAAAUGAAAUUGAAAAUUUAAGUUACAAAAUCUAUUUAGUAUAUAAAUUAAAAUUAAAUGUGGAAUUCAUUAUCUUAUUAAUAUGUUGUUAUUUAUUUUAUUUUAAAUAAUUUUGAAUCAAGUCCAAUAUAAAAUUAGAAUAUAUUAAUUUUCAAUUUUAAAAGAGGCGAGACAUUCCAAUUCCCUAAAUUUGCCCUGAGUCUCAAUUCAAGUCAAACCACUUUACAUACCUCCUAGAUAUCCAGACAUGCUAAUUAAUCACGAAUAAAGCCGCAGAUUUAAUCCAUGCAAAGACCAAGUUCCUAUAGAGGAUAAAGGUUGCCCACAAUAUGAAGAUAUGUUGAAGGUUGAAUUACAUAGCAAAACACACAUCAUCAUCGGAUUCAUCAUCUUUGCCAAAUAAGGUGAUCAAAUAUUUACAAUUUAAUUCCCGCCUUCAAAGAUUAAAUCUUCAGAAUCUGUCACUGCUUAAGACCGGAGUCAUCCACGAAAUCUCUAAAUUUGGGUACUUUUCUGUAAGGAAGUUACGAUCAAGUUUCACACUCACGCAUACAUUUUUAAUCAAACGUUCAAGCUGAUGACAGCGAGAGAGGAUGUUGAGAACACAUUCAGUGCUAAUAAGAUGAAAACCCAAAUCAAGAUGCUUUAGCCUUGGCAUUGUACCUGCUAUUGCAUUCGCCUCAUCCUCCGCCUCGACUUUGCCUAAUACAUCCAGAAACAUCAUGUCGCGACACAAAGUUUCAAGAAGUUUACAGUACUUUCCAAUGGCCUCUAAAGCUUGGGCACCGAUUUUGGGACAGCAAGUCAAAUCCAAGAAAGUGAGUGUGGAAAGCCUUUGUGCAGUUUGUUUGACUAUCGAAUCACUUAUUAAACUUCCUGAAAGUCGUAAAACCUGAAGGGAGCCAGCACUUGCAUAUGCAAGGGCAAUAAAAAACACCAUUUCAUAUCAACUUAAUAAUAUAAAGAGGUAAAAGAGUCUGAUUAAUGAGCUGGCACUCACUACAUUACUCGGAAAAAUAUUUGCUAAAAAGGAUAAGAGGAAGUGAAACUUACUUCUCCGUAAUGAAUGAGAAAAUGGAAUCAUUCCUAAGACCUGCAACAUGUAAGCUGCAGAGAGAUCCACUGCUUCUUGUGACUAGCAUUCGAAGCAUCCGAUCGAGUUGAUGGGGCUUCCAGCGAAUGCUCCAUUGAAAAAGAUCUAUAUCUUGCCAACAACGGGAACCCCUAACUACCUUACUCCAGGAUUUGCAGAUAGGGGGAAUGACUGUCAAUAACUCUUGUAACGACAGGUUGAUGAAGAUCAGCCCCAGUACAUCAGGAAGUAGUUGGUCCCAGCGUCGAAACUCGCUUUGCUCUUCUUCCAUCUGAUCCACAUUCAAGUAAUGAAGGUCACAAUCAAUUCACAACAGGAAAAAGCAAAAGUCAAAGAUUGAGGGUUACCUUAUAUCACUUUCCUUGUAACUUGGAUUAUAAUGCAAAACCCAAACAAAAAAUCGAAGGCAACCAGAAAAGAACCCCCAAAACUAAAAGAAAGAUUUAAUAUAGGAAGAGAAAAAUAUGAAUGGAUUAAGACUAGGUAACUAUCUAUAUAUACACGUAAAAAGCUGGAAAAAGAAGGAGACGAAAAGGCAUGGAAGGCAGGGGGUAGCUUUAACUUCAAUUGCGGGAAUUAGAUAAUUUGUGUGCGUUACAAGGAACAGAGUAAAUUGAAAGGUUGAAACGUUGGACAUUAAUUUCAAUCUAAUUUAUAACAUUAUUUGACAAUGAAUUUCCAACUAUUUUUUAUUCAUUAGUUUCCAAAUAUACUUUUCUAAAUAUUAAUAAUUUAAAGUAAUGCAUAUUAUAAAAUUUAUUUUAAAAUGUCUCAUCCAAAUCUGCAAUAUUUUCAAUGGAAAUAAUUAAAAUAAAAUAAUUAUGACAUUUAAUCUUAAAUUAUUUUUAUAAAAAUAUUUGAUUAAUAUUAAAAAAUUAUAAAACAAUUAAAAAUCAAUGAUACCAAAAUUUUAAAUAAAAAUAUAUUGCUCUAUGAAUAUUUGACAUAUUCAUUAUUCAUCAACAUUUUACGUUGUAAAUUUUUUUAUUAAGAAUUUUUAACUGGAAAAAAAACCUUAUUAAAAAAAAUAAAAAAGCAAUUAAGUCUUAAAAGAAGAAAUAGUUCAUCUUAUUACACUUUUAAUGACAAAAAAAAUUAACUAAACCCCUUCGUUAACAGAAACUAUCAGUUGAUUAGAGAUAAAAACGAGAUAAAAAGUAAAAUAAUAAAAAAAAGACAAAUAAAAUAUUAAGAAAUGAUAAUGAAAUAUAUAAAAAAAAUUAUUAUUUUGGUUUUAUGAUUAUAAAUUAUGUGUAUGUUUAUGAAACAAAAUAAAAAUGUAAACUCUAGACCCAAUUAAGAAAAUAAUUUAAAAUAUAAUAAUUUAUAUUAAUAUAAGAAUAAUAUUGAUAUCUAUUGAUUCGAAACUAAAUUUAAGCCGGCAAUUCCAAUUUUAUCGAGUAAUAUUUUUGAGUGAGUUGGGAUAAAUUUAAGAUAUUACGAGUGGCUGUCAUGGGCUAAGGUUUUCUAGACUAUUAUUUUUGAGUUAGUAGCAUAACUUAUAUGAAAGAAUAGAAAUCUAUUUGUCUUUCAAGGCUUAUCAUGGAGUUUAACAGAGACUAUCAAUAUAUUUAUUAUUUCUCAUACGUGAGAUUCGUCUAAAGAUUCAAACAAAAAGUCCGAGCAAAUCUUAAGAACAGUUGUCGAGUAAGUCGGUAGAUUUAGGCUUUUGUAUGUUUUUUAAUUUAGCUAGCUAUUUAAAAAAAAACAAAUAACGAGCAAAAGAAGAAUAUUAUAUUAAUGUAAAAUAUAAAACCAUGUGAAAUGCAACUACAGUGAAAGAAGAAAUUGAAGAAUAAAUGAAGGGCAUGGAAUGGCACAUUCUAUUACUGAAAGAGGUAAUUUAAUUUCUCCAUUCAACCAACAUUCCACCCACAUUCUCAAAUAAGAGAAUCCAUAUAUCCAGUCAAUGAACUCAUGAUAACCGAUGUACGGUCCACCUACAUUUCUCAAGCGCAGCUCCAGCAGAUUCUUCAGCUUUGGGAACUUGUCUUUAAGGAACUGAUGAUCAAGUUCCACUUCCAGGCAACCCUUUAUAUCCAAAUGCUCAAGAUGAGGACAACCAGAAAGGAUGUUGAGAACACAUUCCGUGCUGAUAAAAUGACAACGCAACUCAAGAUGCUUUAGCCUUGGCAUUGUACCUGCUAUUGCAUUCGCCUCAUCCUCCGGUUCGACCUUGCCUGCUGAAUCCAGAAAGUGCAUGUUGCGGCAAAGAGUUACAAGAAAUUUACAGUGCUUUCCAAUGGCCUCUAUAGCUUUGGCACCAAUUUUGGGACAGUGACUCAAAUCCAAGAAAGUGAUUGUGGAAAGCCUUUGGGCGGUUUCUUCUACUAUUGGACCACUUAUUUCACUUCGGGGUAGUCGUAAAACCUGAAGGGAGCCAGCACUUGCAAAAGGAAAGGGGAAAAAAGCCAUUUCACAUCAAUGUUUCAAUUGAACAAUGAUCCCUUAUAGGAACUGGCUUGGGAUCCAAUAAAAUCGUGAAAGCAAUUGCGAAAAAGCGUAAGAGCAAAUGAAACUUACUUCUCUGUGAUGAAUGAGAAAUUGGAUUCAUUCUGAAGACCUGCAACAUGUAGGCUGCGGAGAGAUCCACUGCUUCUUGCGACUAGCAUUCGAAGCAUCCGAUCGAGUUGAUGGGGCUGCCAGCGAAUGCUCCAUUGAAAAAGAUCUAUAUAUUGCCAACAAAGGGGACCCAUGACUGCCUUACUCCAGGAUUUGCAAACACAGGGAAUGACUUCCAGUAACUCUUUUAAGGACAGGUAACUGAAGAUCAGCCCCAAUACAUCAGGAAGUAGUUCAUCCCAGUGUCGAAACUCGCUUUGCUCUUCUUCCAUCUGAUCUUCAUUCAAGUCAUGAAGGUCAUAAUCAAAUCACAACAGGAAAAAAAUAAAUAAAAAAUCAAAGAUUAGGGGUUACCUUGUAUCACUUUCCUUGCCACGAUGCAAAACCUAAACACAAAAUCAAAGGCAACAAAAAAAGAACAGAGAAAAGUAGGCAUAGAGUAAGACAACUGAAGUAUCUAUAUAUACACAAGUAAAAACAUGGUGUUUAGGUGGAAAAAGAAGACGAAAAGGCAUGAAAGGCCGCUACUUAAUGCGGUAAUUAGAUAUUUUGUGUGCGUUGUAAGGAACAGAGUAUAUGAAAGGUUGGAGAUCAGUCAUCAUUCCAAUGUCCAAAAUUAGUGUUUAGAAUAAAUUUUCAACAUUGUUUUUCUUUCAUAUGAAGAGAUACUUAAUAUGUUUUUCUUCCCAAAAAAACCAUACUUAAUCUUCAUUGCUUAAUUUAUUAAACCACAUUACUAUUUUUCAGGAUUCCAAAAUAAAUUAACAUUUUUUUCCUUUGAUUUUUUUCUAUAUAAAUGAAAGUCUAUUUCCAAUAUAUCAUAUGAUGACGAAUUUAAAACUAUUUUUUAUUCAAUAAUUCCGAAAAAGUUCAUUAUUAAACAAAUCUUAAUAAUUUAAAAUAAUACAUAUUAAAAAAAUGUUAUUUUCAAAUUUCUCAUCGGGAAGUGCAACAUUUUCAAUGAAAAUAAUUAAAAUCCAAUAAAUAUGACAUUUAAUCUUAGAUUAUUGUUAUUAUACAAAUACUUUAUUAAUAUUAAAAAAAUUCUAUUUACAAAAAAUUAAAAUUCAAUGGUAAAUAAUAUUGAUUAUUGAGAACACUUCUAGGGGUUGCUAAGUUGAAAAGCUCUAGCCUAGGCAUUGUAGCAGAUAUUAAAUUUGCCUACUGCGUCCAGAAAGUAAAUAAUAGUGCUUCCUAAUUUGCUAAGAAAAUUAGUAUAACAGACUUGCAUUUAUAUAGGAAAGGAAUUUAGAAGAGAAUUGAAAAAAAGAUGUCCAAUUAGAUUGAAAUUGUGAAAAGUGAUUUACAUAAAACCAGAAAUAAGAAAACCUAAUAAAUGUAGAGAGAAAAAGGGCAAUGAUACCCUCACAAUCCCCAAAUCAGAGCUGCUGGAAAUAAUUCUGCCAUUCAACUUCAAAUAAACAUAUAUUGCAAAACUCAAAUUCCAUGCAUGAAGCUUUUUAAUAGAAUCUCCAAACCACAACAACUUCAUAUUGAAAAAAAAGAUGAUACUGUAACAUAAACAUGGUUCAAUAGUUGGAAGCAUCUUUCUGUGUGAACUACAACAGGAAGAUAUAGCUGAAGCAGCAUGGACACAAAGAAAUAUACCCAUGGAGAUGCAGCCAACUAACCAAACAUUCCACCAUUUUCACGUAAUCAUUCAGCAAGUUCCAUUGCAAUUUCUUCCAUCAUUGAUUCGAAGAAAUCAUCAUCGUAGAAGUCCUGAUCAAUAAUUGCUAAGUCUAAGUUCUCAUAGUCUUUAAACACCUUCUCUAAAUGAGGUCCCACAAUCUUUAACUUUGGGUACUUUUCUUUAAAGAACUUAAGAUCACGGUUCACAGUCAAGCAACCAUUUAUAUCCAAAUGCUCAAGCUGAGGACAGCUAGAGAUGAUGUUGAGAACACAUUCAGUGCUAAUAUUAUGGAAACCCAACUCAAGAUGCUUUAGCCUUGGCAUUGUAGCUGCUAUUGCAUUCGCCUCAUCCUCCGGUUCAUCCUUGCCUGCUGAAUCCAGAAAGUACAUGUUGCGGCACAGAGUUACAAGAAGUUUACAGUGCUUUCCAAUGGCCUCUAUAGCUUGGGCACCAAUUUUGGGACAGUAACUCAAAUCCAAGAAAGUGACGGUGGAAAGCCUUGGGGCGGUUUGUUCUACUAUUGAAUCAUUUAUUUUACUAUGCGGCACUCGUAAAACCCGAAGGGAGCCAGCACUUGCAAAAGCAAAGGGCAAAAAAGUCAUUUCACAUCAAGGUUUCCAUUGAACAAGGAUCCCCUAUAGGAACUGGUUUCGGAUCCAAUAAAAUCGUGAAAGCAAUUGUGAAAAAGGGUAAGAGCAAGUGAAACUUACUUCUCUGUGAUGAAUGAGAAAAUGGAAUCAUUCAGAAGACCUGCAACAUGUAGGCUGAGGAGAGAUCCCACUGCUUCUUGUGACUAGCAGUCGAAGCAUCCGAUCGAGAUGGUGGGGCUGGCAGCGACAGGUCCAUUCAUCAAGAUCUAUAUCUUGCCAACAAUAGGGACCCGUGAUUGCCUUACACCAGGAUUUGCAGACACAGGGAAUGACCACCAGUAACUCUUGUAGCGACAGGUUGGUGAAGAUCAACCCCAAUACAUCAGGAGGUAGUUGAUCCCAGUGUCGAAACUCGCUUUGCUCUUCUUCCAUCUGAUCUUCAUUCAAGUCAUGAAGGUCAUAAUCAAGUCACA
rnacentral:lncRNA from 1 species